rnacentral:rRNA from 1 species
UACGUAGGGUGCAAGCGUUGUCCGGAAUUAUUGGGCGUAAAGAGCUCGUAGGCGGUCUGUCACGUCGGCUGUGAAAUCCCGAGGCUCAACCUCGGGUCUGCAGUCGAUACGGGCAAACUAGAGUAUUGCAGGGGAGACUGGAAUUCCUGGUGUAGCGGUGAAAUGCGCAGAUAUCAGGAGGAACACCGAUGGCGAAGGCAGCUCGCUGGGACGGUACUGACGCUGGAGGCGCGAAAGCGUGGGGAGCAAACAGG